UGUGAUGUCUAAUUAAAAUAUCUUAGGCCGCAAUCCUGUCACCUUAGGUCGAUCGGUACCUCAGAUUUUUGUAUUAAUUUUAUAAUUAAUCCUUUGAUUUCAGUUCCUAAACUUGUCUAGGUCACACUCAACAAGGGUUUCUCCUGGGCCAUUAGCUCAGGUGGUUAGAGCGCACCCCUGAUAAGGGUGAGGUCCCUGGUUCAAGUCCAGGAUGGCCCAUUCGUUGUUGGGGGUAUAGCUCAGUUGGUAGAGCGCCUGCUUUGCAAGCAGGAUGUCAGCGGUUCGAGUCCGCUUACCUCCACUGAAAACUACCCUGAUAACUAAAUCAGGAGAAAAAUUUGUAAAUGUGGCUUAGAAUUGUCUAUUGAAAAGAACCUAGCUUCUUAUCAUCUUUUAAAGUUGAUAAUAUGCUGGGCUCACAUGGAUUUAUCCAUGAGAAUUCAGUAGAACCUUGAAAACUGCAUAGAUUGAAAGAAUAAAGCAUCUCAUGGAUGCAUAGUUUUUUUGAUUUUUAGAUUCAAUUUCUAAGUCUUCAGUUUAAGACUCAUGAUUAAUUCUUGAAUAAAGCCGAGGACACUUA
rnacentral:tRNA from 1 species